rnacentral:lncRNA from 1 species
CCCACGCUCGAGCCUGACGAGCUGGGCGAGCUCGACGGCGAGGUCGUCCGCCCCGUCCACCAUGAUUUCCCACAGAUCAAGGUCUACCCUCUCACUCUAUUUGUCUUUUCAUUCCAAGUGACGGCUGCUGUGCUCUAGCAUAGUUCUUCAGGGGCUCUCAAAUUUUCUUGGACUGAACCUGAUGCAGAAAACGUGGCCACUUCCUUAGCUGAUACUCAUACGUUACAACCAACGAUACAGACAGGCGGAGCUCUCGGUAGGCCGAGGAUGGGCGCCUGCCCUACCUUGAUUUGCCGUGGAAGAAAAUUACGUAUAUACGUAUGCGUACUCGCUCAGGUCAAUUGAGUGUUCCUGGAAAAAAUCGUUGUGUUGUUGGGUCAUGAGUCAUUGAGCAGCGUUUCUGUCCUCCAAGGUUCCAGCCGUCCAACACAACACGAAGCCAGCCGGAGCUUACCAAGUGGCACACGGAGCCGGCAGACGGCCGCAGUGAGCGCGCGGGCCGGUGGACAGCGAGAGCAGCGAGGGCGGCGGCCAGCUGGAGCGGCAAGGGCGGCAGUCAGCGUCUACACCCCUCAUUGACUCCGUGUUAUUUUUCCAUCCACGUUUUGUUUUCUAUUUUUUAUAGUCGUGUGUACACUGGUGUCUGCAGAUUCAUAACAUAUUGACGAAAAUUUCUAAUUAAGAACAGUGAGAAUGUGCGAUAUGUGAUAGUAAUUACUCAGUGCUUUACAGUCAUUUUUAUAUGUGCUUUAUGGUCUGUGAUAGAAAUUUGUCUGAAUAUUGAUGAUAAAUUGACAAUUGCUGAUUAAAAACAGUGAAUGUGUGCGGGUGCGCAGCAGUGUUGCGGACUUUGCUGGUGAAGGAAAAAGAAGAUGAUAGGAAGGGGAAAAGGCUAGCAAAGGCAAAGGGGAGGUGUGUAAUUUUUUGAAUUUUAGUGGCAUUUUCAGCUAAAAGUAUUUGUAUGCACUACCAUUGUCUUUCAAAUUUUUUUUGUGCUUUAGAGUUCGCCCCACCUCAGAAAACAUUUGUCCUCCGCCACACUGCUGUCUAUUUUCUUUUUCUUCUCUCACUGUGCGAGCACUAGUAGUGUAGAAUUUGUGAGAUCCAUUGACCAUGGAAUAAAUGCCCAUGAGAUGCUUUGGUUGGUUCCUUUGAAUUUUCUUGUUGAUGGAGGGAAAGUGAUUCAUUAAUUUGACUGAAUCCAUUGACCAAGAGUAUGUUUUUUGCUACCUAUUAAACUGCUUCUCUGUUAAAUAUUAUGUGCAGACUUUCUAUGUGUUAUGUGGUGAAAAUUGCCAUCAUAUCGAUUUCCACACAAUCAAGUUGAUAAAUUUAUGUCACUAGAAUUUUCAUGCUAUUGUACCAAGAUGAUGGCGGUGCUCAUUGCCAUGGAAUGCUUGGUUGAUCACAUUUGUUAUCUGCAAAUAUACGUGUUGUAUUUUUGUACUUUUGUUCUGAAAGGCAUGCCCUUUUGUAAGAAAAAGACUACUUGAAGAAAAAAGGUGCAGCCAAAAUAGCUGACGACUAUGUAUUCUUGGGUGUGUUUGGUUUUGAGCCAAAGCUAGCCUUACCAAAAUAUUGGUGUCCCCAUGAGUUUUGGCUGCUGUUUGGCUGGACAUCAAAUAUUUGGCUUGCCCAGCCCAGCCGGUGUUUGCCCAUGCAAUUCUCGCCAAUAUGUGGGCGAGCCGAGGGCGACGAAUUCGUCUGCCAAAAUAUUGGCUGCUAACCUGCUAGCAUCCUCGCGUAUUAUGCUUGGCUGUUACAUGAGCUGGAAAAUUAAUUAGCUAGCCCGUAUGCGAACGUCCCCAUGGAUCAUAUUGAUCCAGUCUGUUAGUAUGUGUGUGUUUCACUUGAUAAACACGUGUGUGUGCUACUUCAUUGAACCCUUUUUAUGCCCUUUUUCUGUUUGGUCAUCAUGAUUUAUUGGCUCCUUACAUAAACAUUUCAAGUUAGACCCAAAUGCUCAUUUGCUAAAGAAAAAGAAAAAAAACCUCAGAUACAGAUAUACGGUAUGUUAAUUGGCUAGAAACCAAACAGAGAUCCAACCAUCUUGCUAAAAAAAUUGGUUGAUGCUACGGCUACAAUCCAAACGACACUACCACACCGAAAUUUUGGUCAUGCCCUUGCUUUGUUUGUGCCAAAUGUUUGGCAGGGUAAGUUGGGGCACAAACCAAACAGCCCCCCGAUUUCUGUUAACAUCGAAAUCUGGUACAAGCCACUCUUGAUUGUUCCUGGGUUAUGCCAAGCUGCUUAUACAAUAUUUGAUAUUAUUUUUUAUAUGCGUAACUUGAAGUAGUUGGUGUCCUUUUACUUUAUCAGCUUAUAUAAUUCAUGCGUACAAGUAGCUCCAGACCUUUGCUCAUUUUAAUAUACAUCACAAUGAUGAAUUUCUUGUUCUCAGUACAUGUCACCAUGUUCAGGAUGUUACAUACUAAAUGCCUCCAUCUAGACAAGUUGUAAAGAUAAACUUUUUCCUGCCCCCUUUACUCUGUUGUAUUUAUUUAUAAUUGAAACUGGUGCAGAGUUAGUACGUGUAGUGCAUGGAGAUUUUUCCUCUUAAUUACAUAUGGUGCCCAACAUUUGGUAAUCUUAUAAACCUGGACAAGUUUAUAUGGCCUCAACUACUGCUGCUAUAGUAAUUCUUUGGAUUAAUUUUAAGAAACAUCAUGUUUACUUUUGUUUUAUAGUGGAUACAAUGUUAUCCUAAUCUACAGGCACUAUAAGAUAUAAGAUCUAAGAAUUUUGCACAUGUAAUUCAUUUUUAUAUUUGUUACUAUUAUAUUAUUUCUACUAUUUAUUUAUAUCCCUCAAAAAAAUCGAAGGAUCUUUUAAAUUUGCAGGUAAUAUUGGGAAGCUGGCUACUUGAUGCUGCACAUGAAUCAGCCGUGACAUGAUGGUUGCCAUCAGGAGGGCCGAAUAGCAAGAAUCUAAAUAACAACCUUUAUAGUAUGUAUGUUCUGUUGAUGUAACAUGAAUUGUACUAAUUCCCAACUGUGAUGUGUGAUAUAUUUUUUCAAUCUAUAUUGUAAGUUUAUCAUUUUGUAAAGAAUUUUGUAAACUGCUACAUUGUAAAUACAUAUAGAUGUGCAUAUUGGUCG